GAUGGACCCGUCCUCCGGUGCCUACUGAGCUGAUAUCAGUUCUGAUUUUACAUACUGGCUCAGUUCAGCAGGAACAGGAGUCGAGCCCUAAA
rnacentral:miRNA from 4 species